UACGUAGGGACCGAGCGUUGUCCGGAUUCAUUGGGCGUAAAGAGCUCGUAGGCGGCCACUCAAGUCGAAUGUGAAACCUCGAGGCUUAACCUCGAGCCUGCAUUCGAUACUGGGCGGCUAGAGUCUGGUAGGGGGAUCUGGAAUUCCUGGGUGUAGCGGUGAAAUGCGCAGAUAUCAGGAGGAACACCCGUAGCGAAGGCGGCACUCUGGGCCGAUACUGACACUGAGGAGCGAAAGCGUGGGGAGCGAACAGG
rnacentral:rRNA from 1 species